UUCCCCUUGUUUAAGGAAGCCUUCUAGCUGGACUUUUGUUUCCACAUUUCCCUGUUUUCCUCUCCUUAUCUCAGGAUAUCAGGAUAUCUUAUAUCUUCAUGGGAGGCCUCUGAGCAGAGAAAUCAGCCCAGAGAAGGGAAGUCUGAGGAGCUCCCUUGGAAAGAACGCAUCCAUGAGCAAAGAAGUAACUGGCCUAGGAAGAAAACUGAGUUUAUUUGCCAGAGAUGUUUCAGGAAAACAGACCUGAGCCUGACAAGACUCGCCCAGCUGAAGCAGCCAAACUCCGUUGAACCCACAGACCUAUGAACGAGACAUGAUCUUGAGAAAACUUGUCAUAUGCCAGCCAGAUUCUUGGAUUUUAACCGUAGACUUGGCAGUUUGGUCAGAACAUCACCACUACACUGACAUUUGAGAAGAUGUGUAGCUCUUCGAAGACAGAAACCUGAAUCUCCUCCAGUAUUACCAGUCGGUGGAGUCUGAGGCAACAAACAACUGUAUGCCUUUCACCUCACUGAGAGAUCAGAAAAUGUAUCAUUUUUACCUGUAGGAAUUAAUAAGGAACCAAAAUUUCAAAAAAAAAAAAAAGAAAUUAUUUGGAGAAUGCUAUUAUACCAGUGAAUCCCAAAGAGUUCCAAAGAAAUGACAGGUUUGGUGGAAAUUUUCUAGAGCUCACUGCACAAAACAUUUAAUUACAGCACCCAUGACCUCUACAUGAUAUGACUCACUACACAAAGUGCCAUAAAACAAUUUUAGAGGGUUUCGGCGCUUCAAAAAAAAAAUUGAAAACUGGUUUAUUAUUUGGGUCUUUAUUGAAGAAAACUGAGAUACUGUUCCUUUAAUAUUGUUUACACUGUGGUCUUUAAGGUAUGAGAGUGGGGGAAGAUGAGAGAAUGAAUGAGGAAGAAAGGACACAUUUUGGUGUGUAAAAUAUGAAAUAGUUGGCUGACAUUUUCAUCUGAGAGACUUCCUUCUUCUGACUUUUCUCUCCCUUAGGACAUGAACUUUCAAACAAAAACAAAAACAAAAACCUUUAUCUCUUAACCUACUGAAGAUAAAAUUUGCUUCCUUUAGAGAGUGUCUCAUAAGGAAAUAGAAGCUAACAUUUAAGUGGUUUGGGAACAAUUGACUCACCACUUAGAAAAAUAAAUUUUAUGCCUGUCCUACAAAAAAAAAAAAAAUGCCUUUUGCUCUGAGGAGAAAGAUUUGUAAAGUUAGGAUCUGCCUAAAUAUAUUGACAAGUGAGUUUCAUUUUAGGCAAAAACAUGUGUAUGCAGUGUUAAUUACCUAAGGCCACAAGUGCCUAUAGAAGGAAAACAAGUACAGAAAUACACUCAGAACACUUUUUUCCCCACUCAAAGUACACGGCAAAUCAUAUUAACAACUAUUUAUUGAAAUGCACUCUGCUUUCCCUGACAGUUAAUACCAAAUAAAACUAACAGUGAGAAAAAGUUAGAAAAGUUUUAAUGAAGUGGAAAUAUGACAAUAUCAUGGGUAACAAUAAUAUUUGUAUUCAUAAAUAA